GCUCACUCCUGCAUCUCCGCCCACUCACUGCUCGAUCCCUGCCGAGUGAAAGAGAUCUUUGGUUUUGCCUUUGCUGACUGCUGAUCUGAUCGUCUCAAGUCUGGUGACCUGCUGCAGAAAACCCUCUCCCUCUAUCAUUAUCAAGCAAUUCUGUCUAUCCUAUCACUCUCCCAACUCUAUCUAAUUUGACAGCCAUUCUAUCUUGUAUCACUCUAUCCCAACUGCUCUAUCUAAUUUGACAGCCAUUCUAUCUUGUAUCACUCUAUCCCAACUGCUCUAUCUAAUUUGACAGCCAUUCUAUCUUGUAUCACUCUAUCCCAACUGCUCUAUCUAAUUUGACAGCCAUUCUCUCUUGUAUCAGUCUAUCCCAAGCACUCUAUCUCGUUUUCAGAAAUCCAAGUUUUGAGAAAUCCAAGUUUUGAGAAAUCCAAGUUUUGAGAAAUCCAAGUUUUGAGAAAUCCAAGUUUUGAGAAAUCCAAGUUUUGAGAAAUCCAAGUUGUACCUGAUCCCUGUUUUUGGCAAUUGAAGUUACCAGAACUUUGUCAAUCUGUAUUCAGAAUUCUGAGAGAUCUCCGCUCUCACUGCUCCUUCUUUCCUGUCAUUAAACUCUCUCCAUUCAUUUUGCUGGAAAAUAACAAAUAGAAAGUUGAAUAUACAGUAGUAGAAUUGCAGUACAGUAGAACUUAUAGUAGAAACUACUUAUACAGCCCUACAUUUGUAGUUUUAACUUGGCAUUACACUUUGGAAUAAACACUGAUAGUUUGGCUUACUGGUGCAAUUACUUUGAUACAUUGUAUAAAAUAUACACCUUUUAUAAGGUUUAUUUGUAAUAAGAUAAUCUGACUAUUCUGUAAUAUAUUCAGUGCUAUAUUCACAUAAAUAUUAAAUUUGAUUCAAAUACAUUUUUCAAGUCUGUUUCAUUGGCUAUAACAUUUGACUACAAGUUUAUACUAUUAUUAUUUAAGGACAAACCCUUUUUUGUCACUCAGUGUAAGUGUUCAGUUACAAUUGUCAUCUAGAGGCUGCCCUGAGAACCCAGACUUCCUGUUUCCUGACUGCUGCAGAACAUCCAGCUGAAGAAUCCCCAUUGCCUGUCAUCUGAUCACCACACCAUCACAGCUCCUUAUAUUUGCUUUAAAUUUUAGAUAUCUGAAAGAUUUACACAAAGUCUACUUAAAAGCUAAGAGUUUUAUUAUAGCCUGUUGAUUGAUUGUUGAGAUUUAUUCUGCAUAUUACUUUACAGAAGUAUAGACCUAUUUGUUAUCCAGUCUGGUUAAAAAAAUAUAAGUAAUAAUAUACAGUUUUUGAAAAAGUUACAAUAAAAC
ensembl:lncRNA